rnacentral:tRNA from 1 species
GCCUUCGUGGCGUCGAGGUCAGCAUGCUGGACGCGUAUUCCAGAGGUCCGUGGUUCGAAUCCCGGCGAGGGCA